AUUGAACGCUGGCGGCAGGCCUAACACAUGCAAGUCGAACGAGUGGCGGACGGGUGAGUAAUGUCUGGGAAACUGCCCGAUGGAGGGGGAUAACUACUGGAAACGGUAGCUAAUACCGCAUACCAUCGGAUGUGCCCAGAUGGGCUUAGCUUGUAGGUGAGGUAACGGCUCACCUAGGCGACGAUCCCUAGCUGGUCUGAGAGGAUGACCAGACACAGUGGCACUGAUACAAGGUACAGGCUCCGACGGGAGGCAGCCGUGGGGAAUAUUGCACAAUGGGCGCAAGCCUGAUGCAGCCAUGCCGCGGGUAUGAAGAAGGCCUUCGGGUUGUAAAGUACUUUCAGCGGGGAGGCGUUACCCGCAGAAGAAGCACCGGCUAACUCCGUGCCAGCAGCCGAGGUUAUUC
rnacentral:rRNA from 1 species